CGAACGAGUUCUGAUUAUUGAAAGGUGCUUGCAUCUUGAUUUAAUUUUGAACGAGUGGCGGACGGGUGAGUAACACGUGGGUAACCUGCCCUUAAGUGGGGGAUAACAUUUGGAAACAGAUGCUAAUACCGCAUAAAUCCAAGAACCGCAUGGUUCUUGGCUGAAAGAUGGCGUAAGCUAUCGCUUUUGGAUGGACCCGCGGCGUAUUAGCUAGUUGGUGAGGUAACGGCUCACCAAGGCAAUGAUACGUAGCCGAACUGAGAGGUUGAUCGGCCACAUUGGGACUGAGACACGGCCCAAACUCCUACGGGAGGCAGCAGUAGGGAAUCUUCCACAAUGGACGCAAGUCUGAUGGAGCAACGCCGCGUGAGUGAAGAAGGCUUUCGGGUCGUAAAACUCUGUUGUUGGAGAAGAAUGGUCGGCAGAGUAACUGUUGUCGGCGUGACGGUAUCCAACCAGAAAGCCACGGCUAACUACGUGCCAGCAGCCGCGGUAAUACGUAGGUGGCAAGCGUUAUCCGGAUUUAUUGGGCGUAAAGCGAGCGCAGGCGGUUUUUUAAGUCUGAUGUGAAAGCCCUCGGCUUAACCGAGGAAGUGCAUCGGAAACUGGGAAACUUGAGUGCAGAAGAGGACAGUGGAACUCCAUGUGUAGCGGUGAAAUGCGUAGAUAUAUGGAAGAACACCAGUGGCGAAGGCGGCUGUCUGGUCUGUAACUGACGCUGAGGCUCGAAAGCAUGGGUAGCGAACAGGAUUAGAUACCCUGGUAGUCCAUGCCGUAAACGAUGAAUGCUAGGUGUUGGAGGGUUUCCGCCCUUCAGUGCCGCAGCUAACGCAUUAAGCAUUCCGCCUGGGGAGUACGACCGCAAGGUUGAAACUCAAAGGAAUUGACGGGGGCCCGCACAAGCGGUGGAGCAUGUGGUUUAAUUCGAAGCAACGCGAAGAACCUUACCAGGUCUUGACAUCUUUUGAUCACCUGAGAGAUCAGGUUUCCCCUUCGGGGGCAAAAUGACAGGUGGUGCAUGGUUGUCGUCAGCUCGUGUCGUGAGAUGUUGGGUUAAGUCCCGCAACGAGCGCAACCCUUAUGACUAGUUGCCAGCAUUUAGUUGGGCACUCUAGUAAGACUGCCGGUGACAAACCGGAGGAAGGUGGGGAUGACGUCAAAUCAUCAUGCCCCUUAUGACCUGGGCUACACACGUGCUACAAUGGAUGGUACAACGAGUUGCGAGACCGCGAGGUCAAGCUAAUCUCUUAAAGCCAUUCUCAGUUCGGACUGUAGGCUGCAACUCGCCUACACGAAGUCGGAAUCGCUAGUAAUCGCGGAUCAGCACGCCGCGGUGAAUACGUUCCCGGGCCUUGUACACACCGCCCGUCACACCAUGAGAGUUUGUAACACCCGAAGCCGGUGGCGUAACCCUUUUAGGGAGCGAGCCGUCU
rnacentral:rRNA from 1 species